rnacentral:rRNA from 1 species
UACCUGGUUGAUUCUGCCAGUAGUCAUAUGCUUGUCUCAAAGAUUAAGCCAUGCAUGUCUAAGUAUAAGCAAUUAUACCGCGAAACUGCGAAUGGCUCAUUAUAUAAGUUAUCGUUUAUUUGAUAGCACGUUACUACUUGGAUAACCGUGGUAAUUCUAGAGCUAAUACAUGCUAAAAAUCCCGACUUCGGAAGGGAUGUAUUUAUUAGAUUAAAAGCCAACGCCCUUCGGGGCUCCCUGGUGAUUCAUAAUAACUUUUCGAAUCGCAUGGCCUUGCGCCGGCGAUGGUUCAUUCAAAUUUCUUCCCUAUCAACUUUCGAUGCGAGGGUCUUGUCCUCGCAUGGUUGCAACGGGUAACGGAGGGUUAGGGCUCGACCCCGGAGAAGGAGCCUGAGAAACGGCUACUACAUCCAAGGAAGGCAGCAGGCGCGCAAAUUACCCAAUCCCGACACGGGGAGGUAGUGACAAUAAAUACUGAUACAGGGCUCUUUAGGGUCUUGUAAUCGGAAUGAGUACAAUUUAAAUCCCUUAACGAGGAACAAUUGGAGGGCAAGUCUGGUGCCAGCAGCCGCGGUAAUUCCAGCUCCAAUAGCGUAUAUUAAAGUUGUUGUGGUUAAAAAGCUCGUAGUCGAACCUUGGGCCUGGCCGGCCGGUCCCCCUCACCGGGUGCACUGAUCCGGCCGGGCCUUUCCCUCUGUGGAACCCCAUGACCUUCAUUGGCUGUGCGGGGGAAACAGGACUUUUACUGUGAAAAAAUUAGAGUGCUCCAGGCAGGCCUAUGCUCGAAUACAUUAGCAUGGAAUAAUAGAAUAGGACGUGUGGUUCUAUUUUGUUGGUUUCUAGGACCGCCGUAAUGAUUAAUAGGGACAGUCGGGGGCAUCAGUAUUCAAUUGUCAGAGGUGAAAUUCUUGGAUCUAUUGAAGACUAACUACUGCGAAAGCAUUUGCCAAGGAUGUUUUCAUUGAUAAGGAACGAAAGUUAGGGGAUCGAAGACGAUCAGAUACCGUCGUAGUCUUAACUAUAAACUAUGCCGACUAGGGAUCGGACGAUGUUAUCAAUUGACUCGUUCGGCACCUUUCGAGAAAUCAAAGUGCUUGGGCUCCAGGGGGAGUAUGGUCGCAAGGCUGAAACUUAAAGAAAUUGACGGAAGGGCACCACCAGGGGUGGAACCUGCGGCUUAAUUUGACUCAACACGGGGAAACUCACCAGGUCCAGACACAGUGAGGAUUGACAGAUUGAGAGCUCUUUCUUGAUUCUGUGGGUGGUGGUGCAUGGCCGUUCUUAGUUGGUGGAGUGAUUUGUCUGCUUAAUUGCGAUAACGAACGAGACCUUAACCUGCUAAAUAGCCCGUACUGCUUUGGCAGUUCGCUGGCUUCUUAGAGGGACUAUCGGCUCAAGCCGAUGGAAGUUUGAGGCAAUAACAGGUCUGUGAUGCCCUUAGAUGUCCUGGGCCGCACGCGCGUUACACUGACAGAGCCAGCGAGUACCUCCUUGGCCGAAAGGCCCGGGUAAUCUUGUUAAACUCUGUCGUGCUGGGGAUAGAGCAUUGCAAUUAUUGCUCUUCAACGAGGAAUCCCUAGUAAGCGCAAGUCAUCAGCUUGCGUUGAUUACGUCCCUGCCCUUUGUACACACCGCCCGUCGCUACUACCGAUUGAAUGGCUCAGUGAGGCUUCCGGACUGGCCCAGAGAGGUGGGCAACUACCACUCAGGGCCGGAAAGCUAUCCAAACUCGGUCAUUUAGAGGAAGUAAAAGUCGUAACAAGGUCUCCGUUGGUGAACCAGCGGAGGGAUCAUUACCG